rnacentral:rRNA from 1 species
CCUACGGGAGGCAGCAGUGGGGAAUAUUGCACAAUGGGGGAAACCCUGAUGCAGCGACGCCGCGUGAGUGAAGAAGUAUCUCGGUACGUAAAGCUCUAUCAGCAGGGAAGAAAAUGACGGUACCUGACCAAGAAGCCCCGGCUAACUACGUGCCAGCAGCCGCGGUAAUACGUAGGGGGCAAGCGUUAUCCGGAUUUAUUGGGUGUAAAGGGAGCGUAGACGGGUUUGGAAGUCUGUAGUGAAAGUCGGGGGCUCAACCGCAAGAGUGCAUUUGAUACUGGGUAACUUGAGUACAGUAGGGGCAGGCGGAAUUCGUGGUGUAGCGGUGAAAUGCGUAGAUAUCAGGAGGAACACCGGUGGCGAAGGCGGCUUACUGGACUGCAACUGACGUUGAGGCUCGAAAGUGUGGGGAGCAAACAGGAUUAGAUACCCGAGUAGUC